UCCUCUCCCCUGUGUGUCCUCCCCCCCCCCCCCCCACACACACACCCGGGAACUGUGGAUUCGCUUUGCAGCCUGGCCCUUCUCGUCGUCCCCGGGAUCUUUUUUCUUCCCCUCUGUGAAUUUGGUGCGGUUCAAACUUGGCCCAACUCUUUGUCCCUCUUCCGGAUGCGGAGCGCGGGGAGGAUGCGCGGGGACCGGGGACCGGGGACCGGGGAUCGGGGACCGGGCGGUGCGCGGGUCUCAGCCCCGCGCUGCCGGUCUGCCGGGGCGGAAUGGAGUCCGCAGGGAGGAAAGCCCACUUUAUCACCCUUGUAAAAAGGAAGUGAAAUAAGUUGUCCGAGGCCGUUUGGCGCCGGGACUGAGCUGUCCCCCGGCGGCGUCCGUGCCUUUGCGGGCAGCGCGCGCCCGCCCGAGAGCGAGCUCCGUUCCCGGGAAGCUCCCAGCCGCCCUCGGGUCCCCGACUCCGGCUGGAGUUUGGUCUUUGCAAUCUCUCAGUGUUUGCAAUCCCGCCGCUCCACCCCCCCCUCCUCACACACGCGCACACACACGCGCGCACACACACGCGUCCCCCGGGGAAAUCAAGGCCCCUGUUUAUCAGGGGUCCCGCGCGCCCUUUGCACUUUUACGAUUCGCUUAAAUUUCUCGGACUUGAUCGCCACCGCAGGGGAACAAACAUGGAGAGAGAAAACAAUGCCCCAGGCCCCAGGAGCUCCCUGGUAAGGGUUAAAUUUUAAACCGUUUCACCCCCCCCCUCCACCCUCCCCCCCUCGCCUUGCUCUCCUCUCCCUGGCCCGGAAACCCAGAGUUGGGGUGGGGCUCUUCCCCCCCCCCCCCACUUCUGGGUUACAAAAGCCAAUAACGAGUUCAAUCUUCUAAAUCGCUUCUUGGAACGCGGUGCAAAAAAUAAAAAAUAAAAUAAAAUAAAAUAGAUGAGGGGGUAAAGAGAAAAAAGAAAAAAGAAAAAGAAAGACCGGGAAGGGGAAAAGCCAAGGGAAGACACCGAUGGCUCUCUUCUACGACGUGAAAGCGGUGGAGCCCAGAUUUGGGAGCCGAGCGAGACUGCGGGGAGUCGACCCCGCCGCGCCCGAGACCCAGCCCACCUGCUAGCAAGUCGGACCCGCCGACCCCUCCAGCUAAGGAAGGGCAUUUCUUAGUGUGCAUCUUCUUUAUUUUAACUUUCAUGGGCAGGGGAGGCGUUUGGUAGGAAGGUGCACUCAGACCAGAACAAGAAAUAAAAACCUCCCGCACGCAGAAGGACCGGAGAAGUGUGCAAACUAUUGUUGGACCCAGUUGGUUUCUGCCUCAACAGCGCCACCUUUCGGCAAAGGUGUGGUUGGACUUUUCCCUCAUGGGUUGUUCUUGCACCAAACACAACAAAUAUACCCAGCAACACCCUCGGAAUCACUUCCAUCCUCACAGAAUGUCCCUGAUCCCACGAGGAAUAGAAAACUGGGUUCAUACCUCCAUCUCCCCCCAAAUAAAA